UCUUUUGGCGUCUAUACUAUAUCUCUUUACAUCGCUAUGUCGCCUCUCUCCAUAGAAACCCAGAACGUAGGGCUUCAAAUCCUUAGAGAAAAAUUGUAGAUUUUCUUCGCUCUUCGGAAGUCCGAGAUCAAGUAAAAUUGAUCAGUACUUAUCUUCAUCGUUUCCCAAAGAUCUGAAUUACUUCAAUCUACUUGUCAGGUCAGUUGUCGAUUUUUUCAUUUUUAGAUUCUCAAGUUUUUAUACCGCAUUUAAGUUGAAUCGAAAUUUUUCAAGAAGUCGGAUUCUCGAUGUUUGAUUCAAAUUGCUAGGUUUAAGUUUGAUAAUUAGUAUGAUAAUUAAUUCAUCGCAAUUUGUAGUAAGUUGAAUUUUUGGAUACGUGCUGAAGACUCCCCAAUAUUUCGAGAAUUGGACAGAGUCAACAAGUGAGGAUUUGGAAUCUAAAAACUAAUUUUUUUUCUUAUUGGUAAUAGAAACUGACUAAAUUUACAAUAAAAGUUGGUGUAUCUUUUUCCGGGUUUGGCAUCAAACAUACUGACAUUCUUCUAAAUAGAGAAGAUUUAUUGUACGGUAUCGUCCCUCUUUUCUACUAGUUACUACUAAAAUAUCUAAUAUAUUUACUUUAUGUUGGACAAUAUAUCUAAUUUGUUAUACCUUGGAUUUGAAAUCAUAUAGAGCUGACAAAGAAUAUUGGUAAAAUCAAUAACAUUGGUCAAUAGAAUGUUGUACAAUAGAGGAAUCUAAUUUUGAAGUUUUAUUUUAUUAUCAUCCUCAUUUACUGCCCUAGAAUUAGGGUAAGAGAUGUUCUAAUUCAAAUGAUUCUUUAAGAGCAUAUCUCAUGCAACUCACUUCAUCCAAUGCCAAUUAGUUAGGCCAACUAUGGAACAAGAGAAUUGCACCAUUCUUUGUUUGAAUUUAAUUAAUAAUUUACAACUGCAGAUAUGCCCAAUAAUCGAUUUUGAAUCUUGGCUACUGGAGCAUGUUUUUACAUGCAAAUUGCCUAAUUUUUCAAGGAACGUAAGUCACUUUUAUUAAUUGACCAUAAUAUUUAUGUUAUGUUCUUUAUCUUUUUAAAUUCUUUGAUCUUGUAUAACAUGGAAUAACUCCUUUGACCAAUGCCAAAAGUAAUACUAUCCAUAAGAUGACAGAAGAUAAUUUCAACAUUUAAUAAUUACUAUUGUUUAGUAUUUGAAGGUAGUUAGUUAAUUAUAUCACAAACUAUAAAAUCACUAAUCUCUAUACCGAGUCUACUUGUGCAUUAAAGAAAUAGGGCUCUUUAGCAUAUACGUAUUUUUGCAAAUUCAAUAGUUACUUUUGAGCUUAUAUUUACAUAAUUUUAUCCAUGGCUAAAUAUUGGUGGAAUAUUAAACAACUAGAUGACAUGAAAUUUUAUUUCAAGAGGAGUACUAAUGUAGUGACAAGAAUUUCUUAAGUUAUAUUUUAAUUAUGUUUUGUAGAAGCAGCAAUAACAUUUAACUGCUGUAAAGAAGGUGCCGAAGCAUGCUUGUCUACUCACCUUAUGAAAUAGGCUAGUAGGAUUGUAUUUGAUUUGGAUCAAAUAGAUGAUGACUUCUUGUUCUUAUUAGAUAUCAAGUUCCAAGCUUUUGAAGCAUGUUCAUUUGAUCCUUCAAUCACUUACUCAUAUCAUGAUGAAGCAUUAAAGCUAGUUUCAUGAACAUUUUUCUUACAAUUAGUCUCAUAUGUAUUCUUUUAGAUUUUUAAAGAUGACAUUUUUUAAAAUUGUAAUAUUAACAUGAAGAUGUAAGAUGGAGUUGGUGUAUUAUCUUUAUAAACGGUUAUGUGGAUUAGAAACAACUAUCAUAUAUAUAUUUAAGGCCUGAACACCGUGGCCUUUCUUUUACAUUCCAAUUAGUGAUAAAAACCCUCCAACAAAUUCCUAAGACUUGAUUCAAGAAAUCUUUCACUGGGUGAUUUGUGACAGUGGAGUGCUUUUAGGUUUGUUCCAUCUUUUUCAUGUUUCAUUUCUAAAAACUUUUUGUGAAGUUGGAUUGUAAUGCUUAAUGUUCUCAUCCUUAGUAUAUUUGGUGCUACGUAAUUGGAUGGUAUGCAAUUAUCCCAAUGUGAUAUGUGACUCUUAUUCAAUUUAAAGUCAAAUUUUCUGGUCUCCAGAAUGCAUAUCUGAUAUAAUGUGAAAUCUUAUGAAUCUUAAAAGUAUUUUCACAUGUAGGGAUGGUUGUCGGAUUCAUUUACAUUUAUCAAUUUCGGGAUAAUGAUGAAAAAUAUAAAUCUAUGCAAUUACUACUCCAUGUAUGAACAUGCCGUGAAGAUAACACAAGAGAUAAAAAGGCGUUGCAUCAGUUGAAUCAGUAGAAGCCAAACUAUGACAGGUAUGUUUACAUUUCUUUUUAAUGAUGUAUAUAUGACUAUGACUUAGAGAUUUCUUCAUCGUGUUAUCGAAUCCUGAAAAUUAAUGAAAGUAUGUGAUUUUGACUUUUCAAGUCUAAUGUAUCCUUAACUGUCACAUUAAUUGUUGACAUUAUGACAUAUCUAGAGGUUUAGUCCUCCUAUUAACUUUCUGCUGAGAAAAAAAUGAAUUAAUUUAACUAUAGAACGAAAAUCAUCCAAUGAUAAUGUCAUCUUGUUAAAAAAAAAGGCAUUAAAUUACCAUAUGAAGAUUAGCAUAAAAUUGAUUUUGAGCCUAUACUACUCAACCUUUGAGAUCUUCUCGUAGGAAUUUAUUUUUGAACAAAAAACUUUAAUAGCAAUUCCUUGAUAUGCUAGCAUGAGUUUGUAAAUGUUACAUAGUUGUUCGAUUAAUUAGUGAUGAACUGCAUAUGUGGUUGUUUAUUUAAUUUUAUUUUGUUUUAUCAUUUCAGAACAUAUAUUUUAAUAUUCAAAAACUUGGCAAGUGACAAGACUUCAUUGUGAUCAAGAGUUGGAGAAUAUUUUAUAUGUCUCAUUUUGUCUUUUUAUAGCUAUUUGAUAGCAAAAUUUAUUAGAUUCAAAAUGUGUGAUGAACCAAAAGAUCAUCUCUUAUUUAAAAGUCAAUCUUGUAUUUUGAGGCCUUAAAAACCUCAUUUUGUCUCACCUCGAUUUGCAUGCGCAGUCCGGGCGUAUAUCCGGAAAGCCCUUAUGUGAAAAAUUUGAGAAAAUGCUAAUUCUGCC
rnacentral:lncRNA from 1 species